rnacentral:rRNA from 1 species
AUCGAACGCUGGCGGCAGGCCUAACACAUGCAAGUCGAGCGAGCGGCGGACGGGUGAGUAAUGUCUGGGAAACUGCCUGAUGGAGGGGGAUAACUACUGGAAACGGUAGCUAAUACAGCAUACCAUCAGAUGUGCCCAGGUGGGAUUAGCUAGUAGGUGGGGUAACGCCUCACAUAGGCGACGAUCCCUAGCUGGUCUGAGAGGAUGACCAGCAAAGCGGGAACGGGGACACGCUCCGGACGCCUACGGGGGGCAGCAGUGGGAAAUAUUGCACAAUGGGCGCAAGCCGGAUGCGGACAGGCGGCGUAGGGGAGGAGGGCCUUCGGGUUGUAAGGCACUUUCAGCGGGGAGGCGUUACCCGAAGAGAAAGCACCGGCUAACUCCGUGCCAGCAGCCGCGGUAAUAC